rnacentral:rRNA from 1 species
CAAUAGCGUAUAUUAAAGCUGUUGCGGUUAAAAAGCUCGUAGUUGGAUUUCUGUCAAGGACAACUGGUCCGCCCUCCGGGUGAGCACAUAGUUUGGUCUUGGCAUCUUGCUGGAAACUGUUGCUGCGCUUGGUUGUGUGGUGCAGCUUUCAGCACUUUCACUUUGAGGAAAUUGGAGUGUUUCAAGCAGGCACAUGCCUUUGGACACAGUAGCAUGGAAUAAUUAGAUUGGGCUUUUGCUCCAACUUGUUGGUUCCUGGAGCUGAGGUGAGAAUCAAUGGGGAUUGUUGGGGGCAUCCGAAUUUAGCCGUCAGAGGUGAAAUUCUUGGAUUUACGCAAGACAAACAGCUGCGAAAGCGUCUGCCAAGGAUGUUUUCAUUAA